rnacentral:rRNA from 1 species
GUGGGGAAUCUUCCGCAAUGGACGAAAGUCUGACGGAGCAACGCCGCGUGAGUGAUGAAGGUCUUCGGAUUGUAAAGCUCUGUUAAUCGGGACGAAAGAGCCUAGUGUGAAUAAUGCUAGGAAGUGACGGUACCGGAAUAGAAAGCCACGGCUAACUACGUGCCAGCAGCCGCGGUAAUACGUAGGUGGCAAGCGUUGUCCGGAAUUAUUGGGCGUAAAGCGCGCGCAGGCGGAUCUGCCAGUCUGUCUUAAAAGUUCGGGGCUUAACCCCGUGAUGGGAUGGAAACUACAGAUCUAGAGUAUCGGAGAGGAAAGUGGAAUUCCUAGUGUAGCGGUGAAAUGCGUAGAUAUUAGGAAGAACACCAGUGGCGAAGGCGACUUUCUGGACGAAAACUGACGCUGAGGCGCGAAAGCCAGGGGAGCGAACAGGAUUAGAUACCCGAGUAGUCC